rnacentral:rRNA from 1 species
AUUGAACGCUGGCGGCAUGCCUUACACAUGCAAGUCGAACGGUAACAGGUCUUCGGAUGCUGACGAGUGGCGAACGGGUGAGUAAUACAUCGGAACGUGCCUAGUAGUGGGGGAUAACUACUCGAAAGAGUGGCUAAUACCGCAUGAGAUCUACGGAUGAAAGCAGGGGAUCGCAAGACCUUGUGCUACUAGAGCGGCCGAUGGCAGAUUAGGUAGUUGGUGGGAUAAAAGCUUACCAAGCCGACGAUCUGUAGCUGGUCUGAGAGGACGAUCAGCCACACUGGGACGGAGACACGGCCCAGACUCCUACGGGGGGCAGCAGUGGGGAAUUUUGGACAAUGGGCGCAAGCCUGAUCCAGCAAUGCCGCGUGCAGGAUGAAGGCCUUCGGGUUGUAAACUGCUUUUGUACGGAACGAAAAGCCCUGGGUUAAUACCCUGGGGUCAUGACGGUACCGUAAGAAUAAGCACCGGCUAACUACGUGCCAGCAGCCGCCGUAA